GGGGCCAUGGCUCAGUGGUAGAGCAUCUGCCUAGUAUGCAGAAGGUCCCAGGUUUGAUUCCCGGGCCGGCACCU